rnacentral:tRNA from 1 species
GCAUGGGUGGUUCAGUUGGUAGAAUUCUCGCCUGCCACGCGGGAGGCCCGGGUUCGAUUCCCGGCCCAUGCA